GACGAACGCUGGCGGCGUGCUUAACACAUGCAAGUCGAACGGAAAGGCCCUGCUUUUGUGGGGUGCUCGAGUGGCGAAAGGGUGAGUAACAAGUGAGUAACCUGCCCUUGACUUUGGGAUAACUUCAGGAAACUGGGGCUAAUACCGGAUAGGAGCUCCUGCUGCAUGGUGGGGGUUGGAAAGUUUCGGCGGUUGGGGAUGGACUCGCGGCUUAUCAGCUUGUUGGUGGGGUAGUGGCUUACCAAGGCUUUGACGGGUAGCCGGCCUGAGAGGGUGACCGGCCACAUUGGGACUGAGAUACGGCCCAGACUCCUACGGGAGGCAGCAGUGGGGAGUAUUGCACAAUGGGCGGACGCCUGAUGCAGCAACGCCGCGUGCGUGAUGACGGCCUUCGGGUUGUAAACCGCUUUCGCCUGUGACGAAGCGUGAGUGACGGUAAUGGGUAAAGAAGCACCGGCUAACUACGUG
rnacentral:rRNA from 1 species